AUCUAACCCAACCAGGCUGCCAUCGCACCCAGGAAGAGAAGACAGCAAGAAAACCUCACUUUGACACCCUAUGAUUCCAUCUCCCACCUAACUAAUCAGCACUCCCUACUUCCUAAGCCCCUACCGGCCAAAUUAUCUUUAAACAUUCUGAUUUCUGAAUGCUCGGGGAGACUGAUUUAAGUAAUAACAAAACUCUCAUCACCCACACAGCCGGCUGUGAGUCAAUUACUGUUUCCUGAUUGCAAUUCCCCUACCCUGAUAAAUCAGCUCUGUCUAAGCAGUGGACAAGGUGAACCCAUUGGAUGGCAACAAAUCCUUAAUAGCAAACCAGAAGCUGAAAGAAAGGAACUAACUUCUUUCUGGGUCGAAGACAUCUGGAAAACAUAGGAUCUCCUUCAGUGUCUUUAGCACCAGAUCCUGUGAUUCAAACUACACACAACCAAUAAGAAAAAGAAUUCAACAUGCGUGCUACCGGUUCACCUCCUUUCUUGUGUUUAUUACACAUCAAUAAAUCAAGUGUUUACUGAGAUCCUACUCUCAAGUUCCUAGUCAGAAAAGGAAUCACCUGCCGUAGGUAACAGCCUGUGUUCUUUCCUACAGCAUUGAAAAGAGCCUCAGACUAAAAAAUGAAAGGAAAUUGUGUAUUUCUUUAUUGUAAAGGGCAGAAACGUGCAAUUACAGAUUGUGAAACUGCUGC
rnacentral:lncRNA from 1 species